CUCACUCUCAAAGUUAUCGGCUUUGAUCAAGUGUAGUAUCUGUUCUAGUCGGCUUAACAACUGACUUAUCCGCAAGGAGUAUAAUACUUAGAAAAGUGGAGAUGUAAAAUGAGAGAUGUGCUUGCAUAAUCAUCAUUUUUUAUAGAUCUCUGGCAUCUUAAGAUGCUUUUUUAUUUAAUUUUUU
rnacentral:snRNA from 14 species